GUAUGUGAUGGCAAUUUGGCGGCUACUACUGUCCCCAGGGUUGAUUCAACUUGUCUGGCUGGCUAGGUGGGUGACCCCCUGCUCCCUCGUCACUCCACGUGAGUCCCUUUUGAAGCUGUGCACUCGCCCAGAGAGGACGACCUUCCACAAACAGAGGAGGACAUAUCUUUGGUCAGGGAAGAUGAAUAGCUGUGCUCCCCUGCUAGAACCUUCAAACAAACUCUCAAAAGGGAUAUUCAGAUGUCCCUUCCGCAGCCCUGCACCUACAGGUCACUGUGUUCUUAUGCUCAGGUGAAGCUGACAACAGGGCAGGCUUCCCAGUCA
rnacentral:snRNA from 1 species